AUUGAACGCUGGCGGCAGGCUUAACACAUGCAAGUCGAGCGAGCGGCGGACGGGCGAGUAAUGUCUGGGAAACUGGCUGAAGGAGGGGGAUGAGUGCGGGAAACGGUAGCUAAUACCGCAUACCAUCAGAUGUGCCCAGGCGGGAUUAUCUAGUAGGUGGGGUAAUGGCUAACCUAGGCGACGAUCCCUAGCCGGUCUGAGAGGAGGACCAGCCACAAUGGAACUGUGACACGGUCCAGACUCCUACGGGAGGCAGCAGUGGGGAAUAUUGCACAAUGGGCGAAAGCCUGAUGCAGCCAUGCCGCGUGUGUGAAGAAGGCCUUCGGGUUGUAAAGCACUUUCAGCGAGGAGGCGUUACUCGCAGAAGAAGCACCGGCUAACUCCGUGCCAGCAGCCGCGGUAAUUC
rnacentral:rRNA from 1 species